rnacentral:misc_RNA from 1 species
GAUGAAGAACGUAUCGAAAUGCGAUAAGUAGUGUGAAUUGCAGAAUUCAGUGAAUCAUCGAAUCUUUGAACGCACAUUGCGCCCGCCAGUAUUCUGGCGGGCAUGCCUGUUCGAGCGUCAUUUCAACCAUCAAGCCCCAGGCUUGUGUUGGGGACCUGCGGCUGCCGCAGGCCCUGAAAACCAGUGGCGGGCUCGCUGUCACACCGGGCGUAGUAGAUUUUAUCUCGCUCUGGGCGUGCUGCGGGUUCCGGCCGUUAAAAAACCCUUUUAACCCAAGGUUGACCUCGGAUCAGGUAGGAAUACCCGCUGAACUUAAGCAUAUCAAUAAGCGGAGGA